AACGAACGCUGGCGGCAUGCCUAACACAUGCAAGUCGAACGAUCCCUUCGGGGAUAGUGGCGCACGGGUGCGUAACGCGUGGGAACCUGCCCUUAGGUUCGGAAUAACUCAGAGAAAUUUGAGCUAAUACCGGAUAAUGUCUUCGGACCAAAGAUUUAUCGCCUUUGGAUGGGCCCGCGUUGGAUUAGCUAGUUGGUGGGGUAAAGGCCUACCAAGGCGACGAUCCAUAGCUGGUCUGGGAGGAUGAUCAGCCACACUGGGACUGAGACACGGCCCAGACUCCUACGGGAGGCAGCAGUGGGGAAUAUUGGACAAUGGGCGAAAGCCUGAUCCAGCAAUGCCGCGUGAGUGAUGAAGGCCUUAGGGUUGUAAAGCUCUUUUACCCGGGAUGAUAAUGACAGUACCGGGAGAAUAAGCCCCGGCUAACUCCGUG
rnacentral:rRNA from 1 species